rnacentral:misc_RNA from 1 species
GUGAAUCAUCAAAUCUUUGAACGCAAAUUGCACUCUCCUCGGAGAGUAUGCCUGUUUGAGGGUCAGCCUAUAAAAAUCGACAUCGUUGCUGUUUCGCGGUGGCGUUCGUCGGAAAUUGGGUCAUUUUAAAUCCUUUUGAUUUAAGCGAUUUAAAAUUUUCUUUUGUUUCCUUGAACGUUUUUAAGUUCUAUUCCUUUACAGGUUUAAGGAACCGAUUUUUACUAGAGGUAACAAUCAUAUCGGA